UUUUUUUUUGUUUUAUUUUUACCUCCAGAGGCUAAACAAAUUGGCAACAUUAAAUAGUAUCAGCUGUAAUUAAAAUUUUCCAUUUUAGCUGGUGCUGGUGGCCCUCGCCUUUAACUCCAGCAGUCCAGAGGCAGAGGCAGAGGCAGACAGAUUUGAAUUCGAGGCCAGGCUGGUCUACAAAGUGAGUGCCAGGACAGCCAGGGCUACAGAGAAACCCUGUCUUAAAAAAAGAAAAAAGAAAAAAAAGUAGUUUAGUUGGUUUUACUUUUUUAUUUUUGUGUGGGUGCAUGGGUGACAACAGUUCUCUCCUUCCACCCUGGGAAUCCUGGGGCUUGUGCCCUUACCUGCUGCGCAUCUCAUGGGGCCUAGGCUUUAAGUUAUUUUGUAAUUAAAGUGGUGUGGGCAGACUGAGGCAGGAGGAUGACAAGUUCAAGACCAGGCUGACCUUCAUAGGAAGAGUGUAUUGAAGGAAAAACUCUGCAUAAGGACAGAGACAUACAGGGGAGGAGAAACUUCUCAGGAGAGCUUUGGAAAAUAAGCCUCUCAACUUGACGUCCACGGAGGGAAACACCCAUACACACGAUAUGAAAAUAAAACAAACCUGAAUCUUAACCACGGGCUCCCUGGGGAGCAGGUUUCCUUCUGGAGUGUUCACACAUCCUUUCUCUGGGCUGACUCCCCUGCUGGCCUCCUCCCCAUCUCCCCGCCCACUCCCGCCUUUGCCCCGAUCCUUUCCACUUUAAUGUCCCUGUCACCCUUCACCCUCACCCCCUCAGAGCCACUGGGUUGUCUCAGGAGUCCCUUGCUAGUUUCUAGCCUCUGCCCACCUAGAUAACACAUCCUGUUGGAAGCUAAGAUCUGCGUGUGAGAGACAACAUGUGUGCUUGUCUUUGUGGGCCUGGGUUUCCUCACUUGGUGUGUUUCCACGUUUUGAUUAUCUGUCCAUCUGGAGAUGGGUAUCUCUUUUGGUUCCAUGCUCUUCCCGUUGUGAAAGAGCAGCUGUGGACGUGGAUGUGCAGUCCCUCCAUGGAGGGAUGGAGUCCUUCUGGUGCAUGCCGAGAGGGGAGCACUGGCUCACAUGGUAGUUCUCCCUUAGCCUUUGAGAAGGCUUCACAGUGGGUUUUGUAGUGGCCGAGCACUUCCCAUUCCAGUCAACCCCUGAUGAGGCUCCUCCUACAGUCAGUCCAUCCUCCUACAGUCCAUCCAGCCCAUGUGGUGUUUUCUAUCUUCUUUUUUUUUUGGGGUGGGGGGGUUUGGUUUGUUUGUUUGUUUGUGUAUUUGUCUUUCAGGGCAAGGUUACUCUGUGUAAGAGUCUUGGCUUUUGUGGAACUUGCACUGGCCUCAAACUUAAGAGAUUUGCUUGCCUCUGCCUCCCAGUCUCUGGGAUCAAAGGUGUUGCACCACCCACCCCAGUCUGGCUUCACUUGAUUUAAUGAUAGUAAUUCUGACUGCAGUGAGAAGGAAUCUCACAGGAGGUUUAAUUCUCACUUUCUGAUGGAGAUAUACAUAUACAUAUACAUAUACAUAUACAUAUACAUAUACAUAUACAUAUACAUAUACAUAUACAUAUACAUAUACAUAUACAUAUACAUAUACAAUAUAUAUGUGUGUGUGUGUGUAUGUAUGUGUGUGUGUAUAUAUAUAUAUAUGUGUAUAUAUAUAUAUAUGCCAUUGAUAUUUCUUUUGAGAAUUGUCUGUUCAUCUACUGAUCGGCACUUUUGUCUUGCUGUGUGUGUGUGUGUGUGUUUCACUUUAGCUCUUUAUAUAUCUAAAUGUUAGCCUCUUGUAUUACUGGCAGAGGUCUUCUCUCACACUGUAGGCUCCCUUCCCUCGGCUGUGGUCUCUCUGGCUAUGCAUUUACUUUUUCAGUUCACGUCCUCACAUUUCCUAACCGUUGGGGUUGUUUCUAUUCACUGAGGAUGAUUUUGCUAAAAGGGCAAGGACAGCAGAACAGCCAAUUCAUGCCUGUUUUCCUUUUGGCUUUUUAGGAAUUAAUUCGAGAACAAGUGGAGCUGCUCCAGACCACAGGAGGUAUCCAAGGGACACUGCCACUGACUGUCCAGAAGGUGUUGGCCUCCCAGGCCUGCCAUGGGGCUAUUAAGUUUAAUGAUCGUCUGAGCCUAGAAGAGAGCUGCCGCCUCAUCGAAGCUCUGUCCUUGUCCCAGCUGCCAUUUCAGUGUGCUCAUGGGAGACCCUCAAUGCUGCCCUUAGCUGACCUGGACCACUUGGAGCAGGAAAAACAGGUUAAACCCAACCUUGCUAAACUUCGCAAAAUGGUUCGUGCCUGGCAUCUCUUUGGAAAAACAGAGCAGAACCUGCAGCAGCCUAUACGUCCUUGUGAGCCUCCAUGAGGAGAGGAUUCUGGAGUGUAAGGAGACAAGGGAGUGCCGUGCAUCCCGAGCAGGAGCAGUGCAGCUGUGGGCAGGUCGGCGGCCCUGAGCGGGCUGGCACAUCAGUCCCCCUGAGCAGAUGGAGCAGGCACGUGCACUCAAGCCUAAGGGUAGUUUAUUUCUUUGCAUCCAUGCACACAGGAGCUUGACAUAUAAUACCUAUCUUUUGUAAGUUGAUUUAGUGAUAAAAUGUAAUGAUUUUGUAAUUGGUGAGUUGGCUUAUGUUUGAGGGGCGCAGCUAUUGUUUUUAGCAGUUUUCCCCAGCCUCUCAGUUUAUAUUACGUGAGGAUGCUAAGCCCUAAGCGCUGGUCUGCUCUUCUCUGAGCCCCUGGCUCUGCCCCUCCCCAUCCAUUUCUCUUUUGCAUUUGUCUCCUUCACUUCAUACCUCUGCUUCUUCACAUUGUGCUUUACAGACUUACGGUGUUUCUCUGCUCAUUAUAAAAAUAUUUCCCGCCAGGCAGCGGUGGCUCACACCUUUAGUCCCAGUACUUGGGAGGCAGAGGCAGGUGGAUUUCUGAUUUCAAGGCCAGCCUGGUCUGCAAAGUGAGUUCCAGGACAGCCACAGGGCUACAAAGAGAAACCCUGUCUCAAAAAAACCAAAACAACAACAACAACAACAAAACUUCCUGAUGUCUUCCAGAGAGACUAAAUUAUAUUAGGGAUUAAAAGUUAUUUAUAGCUGGGUGUAGUGACAUAUACCUGUAAUCCUAGUACCUGGGAGGCUGAGACAAGUCCGUGACAGGGCACCAUUUGCCUAGGCUGGAUAUAUAGCAAGACCUUGACUCAAAAUAAAUAAGUAAACUAUAGACAAAGAGAGACACAAAGACAGAAUAGAGAAAGUUUGAAAAGAAUUUUUUUAAUUCUCUUGGUAACCUGGCUGUCCUGGAACUGGAACUCAGAGAUCCCCCUUUGCUGCCUCCGAGUGCUGGGAUUAACGGUGCGCGCCACCACUGCCUGGCAAGAAAAAUUACAACCCUGUCCCUGGUUUUUUUGAUAGUCUUACUGGUUUUUAAAACCAGAGGUGAAUGUUUCUAUUCUGAACUAAUAAAACAC
rnacentral:lncRNA from 1 species